AUUACUCAUUUUAGCUCUUUAUUUUGGAGGCCACAUGUGAAAUUUCUUGUUUUUUAAAUUUUCGAUACAUCACUUGCGAGAAUCUAUAUAGAAGCUGCAAGUCAUUUGACGUUUAGAGGAGAAUUAACAUUUGCUAUUAUCAAUAUCAUAAAUGAAAUAUACAAUUUAUUAACUAGUGAAAUGUUGACAACAUGGAUGCAAUUGGCUAUGGAGAAGAGGAUGUUGGCAAGACAAAUGAUCAUUAUAUGAAGAAGACAUCUUGAACGACCUACACCCGAAAAAAUGAAAUAAAAAAAGUCUAUGGAAAAAGGAAACGAAAAAUGCUAGCUUUAAAAUUUUGUUUUGCGAAGUUUAUACAAUUACAAGACAUGUUUUAAGGAAUGUACUUUACUUAUGAUCGCACAGAAAGGAAAAUAGAUUGAGAGGUAGCUCAUUUAUCAAAAUUAAUUCCCAUCUUUCUUUCUACAUCAUUGACUGUAAUUGUGCUGGAGCUUAUUAGUUAUGUGGCAUGUUUUCUUGGUGGAGUAAUUUUAGGCAAUCAAAGUUGGGUAAAAAUCUUUAUUUAUUUGAUUUGGAAUCACUUUUUAAUACUAGUUUAGCAUAGUUUUAAAGGAAUGAUGUUUGGCUCUUUUUGAGUUAUUUUUAACGAUAUAAUACUUAUUUUAGGGGUUUCAAACUGUCGAAUGUGUCAUACCUGCAAGCACCACUUUCUACUCAAUUUUUCUUGCUUACGUGGACAUUUUAAUUGUUUUCUCAAUAAAUGUACUUCAGAUUGAACGUAUACUUCUCUCACGUGUCUGCUAUCUAUCCCUUUGGUCAUUUCUAAUGGAGAUGUUAUUUUCCAAUCUCAAAAUUUGAUGAACCUCAUGUUCUUGAUGACGGUGUUGUCAAGAUAUUCACAAUAGUCCUUCACCAAGUCGUUUAGAUAAUGCUUUGAAUGAGACAAAGUCUGCAAAUCUUUCUAUGAUUUAUAUUUGUGAAUUGCAAGGACUAAAGACAAAAUUUGACCCCAAAAAAAGCUAAUUCUCUUGGAUUGAAACCUGGGUCAAAGAAUGAUCUAUUGUAACACCUUUUAAAGUUUGACUUAACAGUGUUAGCCUUUUCAAGUUUUCUUAUUUUUGCAUUGAUUCACUUGUAAUGUUCAGGUUCACCCAAUGGAUGUACUUGGCCCUUCUGUUCCUGCCCCUUUAGUAUUGAUAAUGGAUUGAUCUACGCUGUUGCAGCUACAAGAGUUACUGUCUGUACAAAGUCUUUCGUUAUUAUGUUGAUACAGUUGAAAAUGUACCAAAAAUUUCGAAAAAUGUGAAUUGUAUAACCUACGCACAUCACAAACACGUCUGAUUAUCAAAUAUUGAUGUCAAAAUUUGGUGCAGCUCAGCAUAUCAUGGCAGGGAAUGAAAUCUCUUGGUUUCUGGUCUCUUAAAUGCAUGCCUUCUGGCUUGAAGACAUCAGAUGAGGAUCUCACAUCAAGAAUCAAUGAAACCAAUCCAGCAAAGAAUCUUCUCAGUGUCUGAAUUGUCAACUAAAUCAAUUAGUUUCCAAGAAUUAUAAUUGAAAUUAUCCAAUUGAUAUAAAUGACUGAUAAAAUGUAAAGACAAAUGUUUAAAAUAGUUUAUAAAUUUCUGAAAAAAAGCAGGUAUUAGUGUAGGUAGAUUGAAAUGCUAUCUCCUUUAAUUGUUUAAUCUUGAUGAUUGCUAUAUAAACUCGACUCAGAACUAUUGAAAGUUAUAGAUAUGAAAUCUUUCUUUAUAGAAGUGCAAGGAUAGUGGAAGCUUAAUAGUUAGUAGAUUUUGUAAGUCUUGCCAUUAUUAAUGUUUAUGCUUAUUAUAUGUGAUACGUUCAUGCUAUUAAUUUGUUAGCAGCUUCAAGAAUGCUCUAAAUGAAUCUGGUUUUCUUUUAUGCGCUAGUAAUACAUGAUGUUAUGUGCGGAACUAUUCCAUUUGCGUCCCUACACAAAUCUGGGACUUAACAAACUAUCAGAUAUUCUAGAGAAGUCUAAAAAAUUAAACCAGUUGUGGUCAGGGAAUGGAGAAACUAGUGGAGAGAAGACAUUUGUACAAGCUAAUGGAGUUAUGACUGAAGAGCUAUCGUUGCAUGAUGGUGCACUUUCAAAGUAUCAAAAAUAUCACCAUAUGGGUCUAGCUAGGAUACUUGCUCUUCGAACGAAUUAGUUGAAGGGAAUACCUCAUGAUCAUCUGAUUGUCAUUGGCAGUUUCUUGAUUGUGAGUAUACGAAAGAAAGCUUCACUCAAGGCUUUUAAUUUAAACGAGGAUGGAUUCUACUAUGUCUGAUGGAGGAGGUAGCAUGCAAAGCUGCUCGAAGAGGCAGAGAAUUCCUGUUCAGAAUGUUGCUGCCAUUCCGAUUCUCAAGUCCUUGGAGAAGGUUCUUGUGGAAGCUGGAUUAGAAACAUUAAUUAGUGUUCCUAUUAAACGCUAUGAACUGGCAUUUGGUAUCAUAUUGAAUGUCGCGAAUAGGAUCAGUAGAGUUGAAAAAAUGAUAUUUGGGUGGAAACUUGUUUAUUCUGGUGACACAAGGCCUUUACUUCAACUUAAUCAAGCUUCAUGUGGAGUAACUGUUCCUAUACACGAGGCUACGUUUAAAUAUAGUCUGUCGAAAGAGGCUGAAGAAUAGAAACCACAACACUAUGAAAGAAGCCGUGGAAGCUGGAAACUUGAGUGGAGUGUAUAGCUUAAUCCUCACUCACUUCAACUAAUCAAUACCCGAAAAUUCCCAAAUGUGAUGGAAAAAUUCACAAGCAUAAAAUGUGCAUUGCUUUUGAUAAUAUGAUUAUUAACUUGGCUGAUUUGCCUGUUCUUCCAGGAUUAGUGCCAUCCCUAGAACUCUUGGUGGGUGAUGAAAUGAUUACCAAGGAUGUAAUUGCUGCUUAAUUUAUUCUUUAAGUCCUUUUAUUUAAAUUUGUGGAGUUGGUUAAUAGUUAAAUAUACUCUUCAGUAAGGGAUUGAGCCAAAACUUAUUCCAAAUUUAAAUUGCAUUUCUACAUGAAAACAACGUUUUAACUCAUCUAA